AUGGCAUUCUCACACCCCAAGGGUCUUCUGGAGGGUUCUGUCUUGGGACUUACUAGGAUCCCAGAGCCAGGACACGGCCCCAUAGGCUCACUGGGCUCUCAGGGGUUCUCAGACACCCCUGUGGGGACCCCCCGCAAUGAAUCUGUCAGGGGGAUAACUUGCGGGCAUGCCUGCCAGCAGCAUUCAGGGCCUGCCUGCCUCUGGGGCUGGCCUGGCCCCAGGGUCCCAGCACAGCCGAUGCCGCCCCAGACAUCUGACUGCGAGAACAGUGGCGUCUGCCACAUCACGGGGCUCUCGGUUUCAUCCUGUUUCACGCGUGUAAGACUCAACAGAGAUGCCCGAGGGAGGGUCAGACCCAGCCAGGAAUGUAGAGCUUUUCUAGCCAAAUUACUUCCCGUCAGACGGCGCUGGACAAACACAUGGACGGAGUCAGACAAAGGAGAAGAGGAAGCCCAUCUUGAUGGGGAUGCGAGGCGAUGCUCACUCCUAGAGAGCGAGAGAGUGCUGGAGGAGCGGCAGCAGGAGAGGGAGAGUGAGAAUCUCAAGCUGACUCCAGGAUCAGUGCAGAGCCUGAUGUGGGGCUAGAUCCCACAACCCCAAGACCAUGA
rnacentral:lncRNA from 1 species